AUACUAGGAGCGUAAGCACCAAACGAAACUUCCCUUGAAGACCAGACAGACCCGUUAGCAGACCUCUUACCUGGUAGCUGACCUCUCCUCCUGCUCCGAUCUUUCUGAUAUAAUAACUUUGGAACUAACUCCUACUAUUGCUACUAGAUGAUUGCCCCAACCUACCUCAGAACUGACUGAUCUAGCUUAUUCUGAUUUCUCUUGGAUACAUUCAAAUUCAUAGUAAAGAAGGGCAGUUUUCUCUUGGAUACAUUCAAAUUCAUAGUGAAGGGCAGUCUAGUCUCUUUGAACUCAGGCUUGGCUUGGCUAGUCAUAGGUAUACCUCGGCAGAUUGCUAACAGCGAAAUCUCAUUCCAAAGCCGCUUCUUCUCUUGGAACUUCUGCUUCCUCGCCUCUCCGGAGUCAACUAAUCAAGUGAUCUUCUUUCUUGCUCUUGAAACUGGUUAUUCUCUCUUUAUACAGCGGAUUCUCGAGUCGAUGAAACUCUCUCUCUACUUAGUCUUGCUUAUGUUAUGC
rnacentral:lncRNA from 1 species